AGCAUUCGUCUUCUGGUUACGGGGCCAUAGCUCAGCUGGGAGAGCGCGUGCUUUGCAAGCAUGAGGUCGUCGGUUCGAUCCCGUCUGGCUCCACCAGAUGGUUUGAUCAUCGACUGAUCGUGCACCUACAAUCGUCCGCGAAACAUCACUUCGCAUCUUGCUAGUCUGGAUAGACAGCAAGUUGCGUGAUUUCUGACAUCGUAAAGAGGAGAUCGAUCCGAGUUGGAUCGUGCAGCAAGCAAUUGCUACGCGAGACUUCAUUAUCUCCGGAUCAUUUCGGCGCUCGUGCGUCUUUCAAGAGUAGCUCACAAGGCUGCGCUGGAAAGACAAGCGAGUUGUAAAUGAUCCUUUUAGCGAAGCUUGACCGCCUCGCUAUCGGAACGAUCUUACGAAGCAAGCUGGUCUUUCUAAUCAUUGUCCGGCUGCAGAUAGCGUUCAUCGAGGGCGCGUGCCGCAAGGUAAUUCUGCAGACAACAUUCUGCCGAGUGUGUGGACAUUGAUAAUGAGAGCAAUCAAGUGCCUUAAGGGUGUUCGGUGGAUGCCUUGGCGCUGAGAGGCGAUGACGGACGUGCUACGCUGCGAUAAGCCGUGGGGAGCUGCGAAGAAGCUUUGAUC
rnacentral:misc_RNA from 1 species